rnacentral:rRNA from 1 species
UACGUAGGGGGCAAGCGUUGUCCGGAUUUAUUGGGCGUAAAGAGCGUGUAGGCGGCCAUGUAGGUCCGUUGUGAAAACUCGAGGCUCAACCUCGAGGCGCCGAUGGAAACCAUGUGGCUAGAGUCCGGAAGAGGAGAGUGGAAUUCCUGGUGUAGCGGUGAAAUGCGCAGAUAUCAGGAAGAACACCCGUGGCUAAGGCGGCUCUCUAGUACGGUACUGACGCUGAGACGCGAAAGCGUGGGGAGCGAACAGG